AAUAAAAUAGCUCGGUCUGUAGAGCAUGAGACCCUUAAUCUCAGGGUCAUAGGUUUGAGCUCCGUUUUGAGCAAAUAAUUA